rnacentral:rRNA from 1 species
UACAGAGGUCUCAAGCGUUGUUCGGAAUUAUUGGGCGUAAAGGGCGCGUAGGCGGUGCGGUAAGUCACCUGUGAAAUCUCCUGGCUCAACUGGGAGCUUGCAGGCGAAACUGCCGUGCUGGAGUGUGGGAGAGGUGCGUGGAAUUCCUGGUGUAGCGGUGAAAUGCGUAGAUAUCCGGAAGAACACCGAUGGCGAAGGCAACCACCUGGGCCUGCACUGACGCUGAGGUACGAAAGCGUGGGGAGCAAACAGG